rnacentral:rRNA from 1 species
AACUUGGUUGAUCCUGCCAGUGGUUAAUGUUCCUUUCGGAGAUUAAGCCAUGCAUGUGUUAGCAUAAAGCGGCUUCGGCCCUCAGGCUGUGGAUGGCUCAUUAUAUCGGUUAUGAUCCACGCUCAGAUAGACCCUUCGGGUAUCCGAAGGCGUACAUGGAUAACUGCUGUAACUCGGGAGCUAAUACAUAGUGAAACGAUCCUUACGUUCUUUGCCUAAAAACGGAUCGCGUUCGCUUGAACAAGCCCCUAUAUCUAGCAUGAGAUCGGUCCUACGAUGCUUGCAUCGUAGUCCGAGUCAUGAUCGCGGCGAACGCAGUUGAUCGCAUGUGCCCUUCGGGACACGGCGCGUCUUGAGCUCGGGUUUCUGCCCUAUCAGCUCGACGCAUAGGUAUUGCCUAUGCAGGGCUUUGACGGGUUCGGAGAAUCAGGGUUCGAUUCCGGAGAGGGAGCCUGAGAAAUAGCUACCACCCCUAAGGGGGGCAGCAGGCGCGAAAAUUACCCAAUGCUAACACAGCGAGGUAGUCACGAAAAAUACCGAUACCUUCGUCAGUACGACGAAGGUAAUUGGAAUGUGAACAUUUUAAACCGCUUAACUAGGAUCAAUUAGAGGACAAGUCUGGUGCCAGCACCCGCGGUAAUUCCAGCUCUAAUAACAUCGACUAAAUUUGCUGCAGUUAAAACGCUCGUAGUCGGUUCUCGGCCAACUGUGCUUAAAAAUGACGGACUCUUCUGCUCCGAACGCCACGAUCGACUGCGGACCUAAAAAUCCCAUUCGGUCGUCGUUCGUCGAGCGUAGGUUCAUCGGCAUGGAAGGCAUUUUACUGUUGUACGCACUUGCGCUCCUCGACGAGUCUCGCGACGGAUCGAGGAGUUGAGCGUCUUAUUUAUCGUAAGAAAAAUAGAGCGCUCAAGGCAGGCUAGAAUAUCGGGCUCCCCCGAUAGCUAACCACGCAACGUCCUAAAAAAGCGUUGCGGAGUGCAUACAUAAGUACGAGACAACCUAACUGGCCUAUACCUUCUUGGGGCUUGUUAGGCGACGCUCGGACGGCCGCGCAAGGGUUACGCUCUUGCUCACGCGUCCGAGGGCAAUGCGCAAUAGGGGCGGUUGGGGGCAUACGUAUUAUCGGGCUAGAGGUGAAAUUCUUGGACCCUGAUAAGACGACCGGAUGCGAAAGCGUUUGUCAAAAACGUUUUCAUUGAUCAAGAACGAAAGUUUAGGGAGCGAAGAUGAUCAGAUACCGUCGUAGUCUAGACUGUAAAAGCUACCGACGGGUUAUUGGCGUGCGUCCAAUAUGGUACGACCUCGCCAGAAACUUCACUUUUAUUACGAAAUAGAAAUUCGAGUGAUAGGUUCUGGGGGGAGUAUGGUCGCAAGACUGAAACUUAAAGGAAUUGACGGAAAAAUACACCAGGAGUGGAGCUUGCGGUUUAAUUUGACUCAACACGGGAAAACUUACGAGGUCCGGAUAAACAAUGGAUUGACAGACUGAAAGAUCUUUCUUGAUCGUUUAAAUGGUGGUGCAUGGCCGUUCUUAGUUGGUGGAGUGAUUUGUCUACUUAAUUGUGCUAACGAACGAGACCUUGUCCUACUAAGUAGGCACGAGAUAAACUAUAUUAACGCAUAACGACCAGUAUCGGCAUCGCCGAGUCGGCUUCGGGCGUCAAGGCUUUGGGUUGGCUUCGGCCGGCUCAGAAAACAGCGCUCGAGGUGCGGACUUGCGUUCACUCGGAGUGCGAUGGUCCCUAGGUCGCAAAACAAAUGGGACGCACCGAUACAGGCGGCGGUCUCGGCUCUAAACCAGUCGAGGUCGUCGUCUUAGCUAACAUAUAACACGGUAAUGGUUUAAUGGGUUUAAGCCUCGCUUCUUAGAGGGACUACCGACCGCCAGUCGGUGGAAGAUCAAGGCAAUAACAGGUCUGUGAUGCCCUUCGAUGUUCUCGGCCACACGCGCGCUACACUGAACGCUGUAAUAGGUCUAAGCUACGAGGAGGAACUCGCUAAUUAACUUACCGAUCCUCUUAGUAGUGGAGCCAAGGCCGAAAGGCCGAGGUAAUCCGUAACAGCGUUCGUGCUAGGGAUAAUCGAUUGUAAUUAUCCGAUUUAAACGAGGAAUUCCUAGUAAGCGCGGUUCACUACACCGCGCUGACUACGUCCCUAUUUUUUGUACACACCGCCCGUCGCUCCUACCGAUCGAACAGUAGGGUGAAGCCGAUCGAGCGGCUGGUCUCGCGGACGACCGCUUCGGCGGUCUGGCGACGACCUUAAGUCGUCUUUGGUCGUUCAGCCUCCGU